rnacentral:rRNA from 1 species
CGCGUAGGCGGGUGUUUAAGUCAGAUGUGAAAACUAUGGGCUCAACCGAUAGACUGCAUUUGAAACUGGACAUCUUGAGGGCAGGAGAGGAAAGUGGAAUUCCUAGUGUAGCGGUGAAAUGCGUAGAUAUUAGGAGGAACACCAGUGGCGAAGGCGACUUUCUGGACUGUACCUGACGCUGAGGCGCGAAAGCGUGGGGAGCGAACA